UUAGUUGAAUGUUGCUGUCACAUGAA
rnacentral:sRNA from 1 species